AGGUUGUGGUUUCCGAACGGAUCGAGACUGACACCUGAAGGACGCGGCUUAACCGCUUAGCCCCUAGCGGGUCCUGUGGGUUUCCCGACGUCUCCUGGGCUGAAAUGGAAGCGAGAAGUGAUCGGGAACAUUGUGCUGGCAGUUGGAUCCGGCUGCACCGAGCGCCAGCCUUGAAAUAAGUAAAACCGAUGCCCUUCCGCCCCUAACCUCAAAAGCUGCUUUUGCGUCUCGAUGUUAUUGAGAGCCGGCUCUGCGGUCAGCUCUGAGCUAGGCGCUGUGAGAACGCUCAGUAAGACAGUGUCUCGUCUGGAAAUGUACAGGCGAGAUUCAAACCGAGAAACUGCCAAAGGUUGUGUGCAGGGCAGAUCCUAGGAUACCGGAGACCCAGCCCGUUGGCUUGACCUCAAAACUCGGGGGCUUUUCGGCCCAUGCUGUCCCUUAAUUCCUCCUCCUUUGCUGACGCUGUGGGUGCGCAUCAAAGCCUAAACUUCACUAGCUCCCUUGCACACAAGAACACUAACCCUAACCUGACCAGUUAUUUAUUUUUCACUUCAAGAUUCUUCCAUUGAUACUUACGUUUCCCUGAUACCGUCCAAGUGCUGAGGGCGGGGAUGGACUGUGUGAUUUGCAUCUGCCAAAUGCAGAAAAUUUGGAAGGUCAUUCACAGCCUCUUAGUUGGAUGCCCCUGUGUCACAGAACACAUUUUGGCUAUGGGGUGUGAUCUGUGUCUGAGGAACAACAAGAAGCUACACGUCAUCCA
rnacentral:lncRNA from 1 species